UACGUAGGGUGCGAGCGUUGUCCGGAGUUACUGGGCGUAAAGCGCACGCAGGCGGUCUGCUAAGUUUGGAGUGACAGUUGGUGGCUUAACUGCCAAAGUGCUUCGAAAACUGACAGACUUGAGGGCUUCAGAGGGACACGGAAUUCCGGGUGGAGUGGUGAAAUGCGUAGAGAUCCGGAGGAACACCAAAGGCGAAGGCAGUGUCCUGGGGAGUACCUGACGCUCAGGUGCGAAAGCGUGGGUAGCAAACAGG
rnacentral:rRNA from 1 species